rnacentral:rRNA from 1 species
UACGGAAGGGGCAAGCGUUGUUCGGAAUCACUGGGCUUAAAGGGCGCGUAGGCGGCCCGCAAGGUCGGGGGUGAAAUCCCGCGGCUCAACACGGAGCGGCCACCUGAUACUGCCGUGACUCGAGUCCGGUAGGGGAGUGUGGAAUUCCCGGUGUAGCGGUGAAAUGCGUAGAUAUCGAGAGGAACACCUGCGGCGAAGGCGGGUUGCUGGGCCGACACUGACGCUGAUGCGCGAAAGCCAGGGGAGCGAACGGG